GACGAACCGUGCGAACGUUGUUCGGAUUCACUGGGCUUAAAGGGCGCGUAGGCGGGCGGUCAAGUCGGGGGUGAAAUCUUUCAGCUCAACUGGAAAAGUGCCUUCGAUACUGACGGUCUUGAGGGAGGUAGGGGCAUGUGGAACUUCCGGUGGAGCGGUGAAAUGCGUAGAUAUCGGAAGGAACGCCAACGGCGAAAGCACUCUGCUGGGCCGACACUGACACUGAGAGACGAAAGCUAGGGGAGCGAAUGGG
rnacentral:rRNA from 1 species